rnacentral:rRNA from 1 species
UACGUAGGGCGCGAGCGUUGUUCGGAAUCACUGGGCGUAAAGGGCGCGUAGGCGGCUUUUCAAGCGUGCGGUGAAAGCUCGGGGCUUAACUCCGAGUCUGCCGUGCGAACUGGGAGGCUUGAGUCUGGUAGAGGUCGAUGGAAUUCCGGGUGUAGCGGUGGAAUGCGUAGAGAUCCGGAAGAACACCGGUGGCGAAGGCGGUCGACUGGGCCAGAACUGACGCUGAGGCGCGACAGCGUGGGGAGCAAACAGG